UACGGGGGGGGGCAAGCGUUUGUUCGGAAUUACUGGGCGUAAAGGGCUCGUAGGUGGCCAACUAAGUCAGACGUGAAAUCCCUCGGCUUAACCGGGGAACUGCGUCUGAUACUGGUUGGCUUGAAUCCGGGAGAGGGAUGUGGAAUUCCAGGUGUAGCGGUGAAAUGCGUAGAUAUCUGGAGGAACACCGGUGGCGAAGGCGGCAUCCUGGACCGGUAUUGACGCUGAGGAGCGAAAGCCAGGGGAGCAAACGGG
rnacentral:rRNA from 1 species